rnacentral:rRNA from 1 species
GACGAACGCUGGCGGCGUGCUUAACACAUGCAAGUCGAGCGGUAAGGCCCUUUCGGGGGUACACGAGCGGCGAACGGGUGAGUAACACGUGGGUGACCUGCCCUCAGCUCUGGGAUAAGCCCGGGAAACUGGGUCUAAUACUGGAUAUUACUCUGCGGUGCAUGCCGUGGGGUGGAAAGCCUUGUGCGGCUGGGGAUGGGCCCGCGGCCUAUCAGCUUGUUGGUGGGGUGAUGGCCACCAAGGCGACGACGGGUAGCCGGCCUGAGAGGGCGACCGGCCACACUGGGACUGAGACACGGCCCAGACUCCUACGGGAGGCAGCAGUGGGGAAUCUUGCGCAAUGGGCGAAAGCCUGACGCAGCGACGCUGCGUGAGGGAUGACGGCCU